rnacentral:rRNA from 1 species
UACGUAGGGUGCAAGCGUCAAUCGGAAUUACUGGGCGUAAAGCGUGCGCAGGCGGUUAUGUAAGACAGUUGUGAAAUCCCCGGGCUCAACCUGGGAAUUGCAUCUGUGACUGCAUAGCUAGAGUACGGUAGAGGGGGAUGGAAUUCCGCGUGUAGCAGUGAAAUGCGUAGAUAUGCGGAGGAACACCGAUGGCGAAGGCAAUCCCCUGGACCUGUACUGACGCUCAUGCACGAAAGCGUGGGGAGCAAACAGG